AACAAAGGGAUUCCCUAGUAACUGCGAGUGAAGCGGGAAAAGCUCAAAUUUAAAAUCUGGCGGCUUUACCGUCCGAGUUGUAGUCUGGAGAAGUGCUUUCCGCGCUGGACCGUGUAUAAGUCUCUUGGAAUAGAGCGUCAUAGAGGGUGAGAAUCCCGUCUUUGACACGGACUACCAGUGCUUUGUGAUGCGCUCUCAAAGAGUCGAGUUGUUUGGGAAUGCAGCUCAAAAUGGGUGGUAAACUCCAUCUAAAGCUAAAUAUUGGCGAGAGACCGAUAGCGAACAAGUACCGUGAGGGAAAGAUGAAAAGCACUUUGGAAAGAGAGUUAAACAGUACGUGAAAUUGCUGAAAGGGAAACACUUGAAGUCAGUCGCGUUGUUCAGAACUCAGCCUUGCUUCCGCUUGGUGCACUUUCUGGAUGACGGGCCAGCAUCAAUUUUGACCGUUGGAAAAGGGUUGGGGGAAUGUGGCACCUUCGGGUGUGUUAUAGCCUUCAGUCGCAUACAACGGUUGGGAUUGAGGACCGCAGCGCGCCGCAAGGCAGGGGUUCGCCCACUUUCGCGCUUAGGAUGCUGGCAUAAUGGCUUUAAAUGACCCGUCUUGAAACACGGACCAAGGAGUCUAACAUGCCUGCGAGUGUUUGGGUGGAAAACCCGAGCGCGUAAUGAAAGUGAAAGUUGAGACCUCUGUCGUGGAGGGCAUCGACGCCCGGACCUGACGUUCUCUGACGGUUCCGCGGUAGAGCAUGUAUGUUGGGACCCGAAAGAUGGUGAACUAUGCCUGAAUAGGGUGAAGCCAGGAGGAAACUCUGGUGGGAGGCUCGUAGCGAUUCUGACGUGCAAAUCGGAUCGUCAAAUUUUGGGUAUAGGGGCGAAAGACUAAUCGAACCAUCUAGUAGCUGGCUACUGCGAG
rnacentral:rRNA from 1 species